rnacentral:rRNA from 1 species
AGUGAACGCUGGCGGCAGGCCUAACACAUGCAAGUCGAACGGCAGCACAAGAGAGCUUGCUCUCUGGGUGGCGAGUGGCGGACGGGUGAGGAAUGCAUCGGAAUCUGCCCAUUUGUGGGGGAUAACCUCGGGAAACCGGGACUAAUACCGCAUACGACCUACGGGUGAAAGCAGGGGAUCUUCGGACCUUGCGCAGAUGGAUGAGCCGAUGCCGGAUUAGCUAGUUGGAGGGGUAAAGGCCCACCAAGGCGACGAUCCGUAGCUGGUCUGAGAGGAUGAUCAGCCACACUGGGACUGAGACACGGCCCAGACUCCUACGGGAGGCAGCAGUGGGGAAUAUUGGACAAUGGACGCAAGCCUGAUCCAGCCAUGCCGCGUGUGUGAAGAAGGCCUUCGGGUUGUAAAGCACUUUUGUUGGGAAAGAAAAGCAGCCGGUUAAUACCCGGUUGUCAUGACGGUACCCAAAGAAUAAGCACCGGCUAACUUCGUG